UACGUAGGGUGCAAGCGUUAAUCGGAAUUACUGGGCGUAAAGCGUGCGCAGGCGGUGAUGUAAGACAGAUGUGAAAUCCCCGGGCUCAACCUGGGAACUGCAUUGUGACUGCAUCGCUGGAGUGCGGCAGAGGGGGAUGGAAUUUCGCGUGUAGCAGUGAAAUGCGUAGAUAUGCGGAGGAACACCGAUGGCGAAGGCAAU
rnacentral:rRNA from 1 species